rnacentral:tmRNA from 1 species
GGGGGCGAUUGGAUUCGACCGGGCGAGAAGAAGGGUGUGUGGCGUGUCGAGGAUGCCGGUUGGCCUCGCUAAUCAUCCGGCGUAAACCUAAACGGCAACACUCAGUUUGCCAUGGCAGCCUAAACCAGCUGCCCGCUGAUCGGGUGACGCCUUCUGACCCGUGACGCGACGAUUAGAGGGCUAGCCGACGCGUGACGCCCGACCGCACGCCGGCGAACCAACAGUCGGGCUGGGGAAGGCGGAAGCCUGUCGGCCGGCGCCCGCCAACCCGAGAUGCAAACAACCGACUACACACGUAGAAGCACACCCGGAACCGCCGCGGGACGGGGGUUCGAUUCCCCCCGCCUCCAGUC